rnacentral:rRNA from 1 species
UACGUAGGGGGCUAGCGUUGUCCGGAAUCAUUGGGCGUAAAGAGCGUGUAGGCGGUCCGGUAAGUCCGCUGUGAAAGUCGGGGGCUCAACCCUCGAAUGCCGGUGGAUACUGUCGGGCUAGAGUGCGGAAGAGGCGAGUGGAAUUCCUGGUGUAGCGGUGAAAUGCGCAGAUAUCAGGAGGAACACCUAUUGCGAAGGCAGCUCGCUGCCAUUCCUGACGCUGAGACGCGAAAGCUAGGGGAGCGAACAGG